AAUGAAUGGGAGUCAAUGGGAUGCUAACGCAAGUGAAGUUCUGCUACAAGAUGGCGGCACGCGGCCGACUUCAACUUCCGGUCGACUUCCUUGGGCACUGCUUGUGAGCAGCUUAAAACUUCAAUGGCGGCAGCUCGAAAACAGACUCUGGGCUGGGGAGAUAGGACACGCUCUGUGAGGAUGGUUUUCUCGUUCGAGAGACCAGUCUGAGAGACUGAUCAGAGUUUGGGACGCUACUGCUGUUAUUAUCUUGCAGUUGGGUCAGUUUCUCUUGUGUUGGGCGUGUUUAUGUUUGUUUGUGCUCGUGUGUUUGAUACAUGCUUGAUUUAAGAUGCCGAUUGUUUAUGACCGCUGUACUUCGUGGAACCGGGUCAUCUCAUGUUCCGGUUCAAAGCUGACCCGUGAAACCUUCAUCUCAUAUCCUGUUUUAAAGCUAUGUAGCCUGGCUGGAGAGGUUGCGAGUCAGAUGCGGAAAGUGAGCGAGCUGACACUUCGGCUGUGGAAAAGCGUACGCCUAGCGUGGGGAAUUUGGAGGAGGCAACAGGUGAGAAUGCUGAGGUGGAGGCGGAGGCCGAGCCCAAGGCUGUCUUACCGCCCUUCUACCCACUGUCUCCGUCUUCCGUAGAGUCUGGGGGUGACGCGCGACUUAAGGUUCGCAUAGCCCGACUCCAGAUGGAAGUGCAGGAGCGAGGCUGAGACGCGCCAAGCUGAAAUGAAGUUACGCUUAGAGAUCCGUAAAUUGGAAAUUGAGGCAGAGACGCAGGUAAAAUUGCGACAGCUCGAGUUAGAGUCAGCGAAGGCUGUCUCUGACCGAACUGCGCAGCUUAAUCCUGUUAGUCCUGUUGUUGCUUCAGUAAAUUCGGCAAACUCUGUGAGUGAUUCGACCACUACAUUCGAUAUUAGUAAGCAAAUCGCUUUGGUGCCUCACUUUAGAGAAUCCUGAAGUGGACACGUACUUUGCUGCUUUCGAGCGAGUAGCUGCCUGCACUUCAUUGGCCAAAAGAGGUUUGGUGUCUGUUACUACAGUGUCAACUUGUUGGAAAAGCACAGGAAGUUUGCUCUGCGCUAUCUUUAGAGGAAAGCUUGCGAUAUGAUGUCGUGAAGAAUGCUGUACUUCGCGCAUAUGAGUUGGUACCUGAAGCGUAUCGGCAACGCUUUAGGAACCAUAAGAAGGUAGCUCAGCAAACAUUUGUGGAAUUCGCCCGGGAGAAGGGAGUUCUUUUUGAUAAAUGGUUGUCUACUAACAAUGUGCAAGAUUUAAGUUCGUUGAGAGAGCUAAUGCUUUUAGAAGAUUUUAAGAACUGUUUGUCGGAACGAGUAGUCACAUACCUGAAUGAACAAAAAGUUACGUCAUUGUCACAAGCCGUGAUUCUUGCGGAUGAGUACGUGUUAACGCAUAAGAGUGUGUUUGUUUCAGGUCGGCCAGAGAAAGCACUGAAUUCGGCUUCAACUCAAAAUUCGAGUACCCGUACUAAAAGUAGUUUCCCGCAGAACAA